AUGUUAGUCUCGUGGGGAUGGUCAGCGGCAAAGCGGAGCGGAACAUGGACGUGUACUUCACGCUCGACGACGGCACCGGCAGCGUUGAUUUCAUCAGAUGGUGAGUGCAUCUCGGCAAAUGGCUUGGUUGUACUUGAGUUGCAGAUGUAUAUUAGGGGUACAGUUUUAGAUUUUUAUUUUUUGGAUUCCAUUGCUGGAUGUUGGGCGUGGGAUUUGUCCAAUGCUGCAACUUCAAUCUUCACUAGAUUAAAAUGCUGUUGGCUGUUAGUACAACAGUGCAAGAAAUCCAAUAAUGGGAAUUAA
rnacentral:rRNA from 1 species